rnacentral:rRNA from 1 species
CAAUAGCGUAUAUUUAAGUUGUUGCAGUUAAAAAGCUCGUAGUUGAAUUUCUGGUGGGCGCGCCGGUCUUCCAAGUGUUGUACUGGGCGCAGUCCGCCAUCCUUGUGGAGAGGGCUCGCAUUGAGUUGCGUGUCGGAUCUGCAUCAUUUACUGUGAAAAAAUUAGAGUGUUUAAAGCAGGCUGUCGCUUGAAUACAUUAGCAUGGAAUAAUAAGAUAGGACUUCGGUCUAUUUUGUUGGUUGCGAACCGAGGUAAUGAUUAAUAGGGAUAGUUGGGGGUAUUCAUAUUUAAUUGUCAGAGGUGAAAUUCUUGGAUUUAUGAAAGAUGAACAACUGCGAAAGCAUUUACCAAGGAUGUUUUCAUUAA